rnacentral:rRNA from 1 species
GACGAACGCUGGCGGCGUGCUUAACACAUGCAAGUCGAACGGAAAGGCCCUGCUUUUGUGGGGUGCUUGAGUGGCGAACGGGUGAGUAACACGUGAGUAACCUGCCCUUGACUUUGGGAUAACUUCAGGAAACUGGGGCUAAUACCGGAUAGGAGCUCCUGCUGCAUGGUGGGGGUUGGAAAGUUUCGGCGGUUGGGGAUGGACUCGCGGCUUAUCAGCUUGUUGGUGGGGUAGUGGCUUACCAAGGCUUUGACGGGUAGCCGGCCUGAGAGGGUGACCGGCCACAUUGGGACUGAGAUACGGCCCAGACUCCUAUGGGAGGCAGCAGUGGGGAAUAUUGCACAAUGGGCGGAAGCCUGAUGCAGCAACGCCGCGUGCGGGAUGACGGCCUUCGGGUUGUAAACCGCUUUCGCCUGUGACGAAGCGUGAGUGACGGUAAUGGGUAAAGAAGCACCGGCUAACUACGUG